rnacentral:lncRNA from 1 species
GUUCACUCAGAACUCUUUGAUAGGCAGCGGUUUACUCCUUGAAUGGGCUUGGACGAUAUAAAUUUGAAUUAAUCGAGUCAGUGAGUCACGAAUACCUGAUGAUGUCUAAAACACAAAAGAAAAGUGAUUUGAAGCAAAAAAACUAGAGCUGCUCAUCAAAGAUUGACUCUCUUUUGGAAAGUAAAGAUGAGUCAUAUUGCCAUAACCUUAACAAGGAGUUAGAUGCAGUAGUGAUUUUGUGGUUGAAGAAACUAUGGAAAGAAGAAAUGGGAAAGGUACACAAGUAAAAGUUGAGGAAAAAGGCCAGGUUGUUGAGACUAAGAUUUAUAGUACUAUGUUGAGGCAUGUUUGUGUGUUGGGG